UACUCCUACGGGAGGCAGCAGUGGGGAAUAUUGCACAAUGGGCGAAAGCCUGAUGCAGCAACGCCGCGUGAGUGAUGACGGCCUUCGGGUUGUAAAGCUCUGUCUUUGGGGACGAUAAUGACGGUACCCAAGGAGGAAGCCACGGCUAACUACGUGCCAGCAGCCGCGGUAAU
rnacentral:rRNA from 1 species